GUAGUCUCGCACAGAUGCAUAUCAAUAAGCGGAGGAAAAGAAACUAACAAGGAUUCCCUCAGUAACGGCGAGUGAAGCGGGAAGAGCUCAAAUUUGAAAUCUUGAAAGGUCACCUUUCACGAAUUGUAGUUUAAAGAAGUGUUUUCUGUUACGAUCGUAAUAUAAGUUCUUUGGAAUAGGACAUCACAGAGGGUGAGAAUCCCGUCUAUGAUUGCGAUUUGUAGCUUUGUGAUACACUUUCAAAGAGUCGGGUUGUUUGGGAAUGCAGCCCAAAACGGGAGGUAAAUUUCUUCUAAGGCUAAAUAUUGGCGAGAGACCGAUAGCGAACAAGUACCGUGAGGGAAAGAUGAAAAGAACUUUGAAAAGAGAGUUAAAUAGUACGUGAAAUUGUCAAAAGGGAAGCGUUUAACACCAGUGUUGUUUUCUGAAAAUCAACCUCUGUUAGCUUUAUGCAUGUUUGUUUAGACCUAAUCAGCUAUCUUGCAUGUUCUAUUGUUUGCAGUGGUGCACUUUUCAGUUUACAGGUCAACAUCAGUUUUUUUUACCGUAAAAAAGUUAAAGAAAGGUAGCUCAUGGCUCCGGUCGUGAGUGUUAUAGUCUUUUUCCUAUGCGGUAGGAGAGACUGAGGUCUGCAGUGUAGGCUAUUUGGCUAGAUACUCAGGUGCUAUGUGAUACCAUUUCAUAAACAACUUGUUGAUUAUGUUUUGUCUAUUGCAUACUCGCUUGUACUAUCAUACCUACGCUUAGGAUGUUGACGCAUGAGAUAUACGC
rnacentral:rRNA from 1 species